rnacentral:rRNA from 1 species
ACGCUCGACACCUACGGGAGCAGCAGUGGGGAAUAUUGGGCAAUGGGCGAAAGCCUGACCCAGCAACGCCGCGUGAGGGAAGAAGGUUUUCGGAUUGUAAACCUCUGUCCUCAGGGACGAAGGACGUGACGGUACCUGAGGAGGAAGCCCCGGCUAACUACGUGCCAGCAGCCGNGGUAAUCUGAGGCGGGCUGGCAAGGC